CCUACGGGAGGCAGCAGUGGGGAAUCUUGCCCAAUGGGCGAAAGCCUGAGGCAGCAACGCCGCGUGCGGGAUGACGGCCUUCGGGUUGUAAACCGCUUUCAGCAGGGACGCGGUACCUGCAGAAGAAGCUCCGGCCAACUACGUGCCAGCAGCCGCGGUAAUACGUAGGGAGCGAGCGUUGUCCGGAUUUAUUGGGCGUAAAGAGCGCGUAGGCGGCUCGGUAAGCCGGAUGUGAAACCUCCAAGCUCAACUUGGAGCGGCCAUUCGGAACUGUGUGGCUAGAGUCUGGUAGGGGAACACGGAAUUCCUGGUGUAGCGGUGAAAUGCUUAGAUAUCAGGAGGAACACCAGUGGCGAAGGCGGUGUUCUGGGCAGACUGACGCUGAGGCGCGAAAGCGUGGGGAGCGAACAGGAUUAGAUACCCUUGUAGUC
rnacentral:rRNA from 1 species